UACGUAGGGUGCGAGCGUUAAUCGGAAUUACUGGGCGUAAAGCGUGCGCAGGCGGUCUGUUAAGACCGAUGUGAAAUCCCCGGGCUUAACCUGGGAACUGCAUUGGUGACUGGCAGGCUUUGAGUGUGGCAGAGGGAGGUAGAAUUCCACGUGUAGCAGUGAAAUGCGUAGAGAUGUGGAGGAAUACCGAUGGCGAAGGCAGCCUCCUGGGCCAACACUGACGCUCAGGCACGAAAGCGUGGGGAGCAAACAGG
rnacentral:rRNA from 1 species